CCUACGGUGAGCAGCAGUGGGGGAUAUUGCACAAUGGGGGAAACCCUGAUGCAGCGACGCCGCGUGUGGGAAGACGGUCCUCUGGAUUGUAAACCACUGUCCCCAGGGACGAAGAUGACGGUACCUGACUAAGAAGCCCCGGCUAACUACGUCCCAGCAGCCGCGGUAAUACGUAGGGGGCGAGCGUUAUCCGGAUUCACUGGGUGUACAGGGAGCGUAGACGGCCAUGCAAGCCAGGGGUGAAAGCCCGGGGCCCAACCCCGGGACUGCCCUUGGAACUGCAUGGCUGGGGGGCGGGAGGGGCAGGCGGAAUUCCUGGUGUAGCGGUGAAAUGCGUAGAUAUCAGGAGGAACACCGGCGGCGAAGGCGGCCUGCUGGACCGCGACUGACGUUGAGGCUCGAAAGCGUGGGGAGCGAACAGGAUUAGAUACCCCUGUAGUC
rnacentral:rRNA from 1 species